rnacentral:lncRNA from 1 species
AGGGAAAGUCCAAAUUUUAGCAAAUAUAUUGAUGAGAAUUAUAUUAUAUGGCCAUCUAGCUGCAAGAGAAGCCAGGAACACACACAGAUUUCCACCUUCCAUGUUAGAAAUAAAGAGAAAAGACCAAUAAGGAAUAUUUGUCUCAAAGCUGAACAUUGAAACCAUCUACUUUUCACAGCCAGCAUGGAUACAGAUCCCAAAUCACAUCUUACUGUGUGUCUCAGUUUGUCUUUAUAUUAUUUCUUUGUAUUCAUUAGCAUGACCUUAUUUUUGCAAAUGGAGACAAUCAGCAGAAGUUCUGGGAAGUAAUAAAGAAUCAUAAGGGUGGAGGAGACACAAAAAAACCUGCCUCAGACUCAAAGCUAAAGCUCUAAGAAACCUUUCCCACCAGCCAGUUCCCAAAUAACCAUACAGAGGCUUUUAUUAAUUAUAAAUACUUAGGGGAUAGCUUAGGCUUGUUCCUAACUUGCUUGUAUAACUUAAAUUAACCCUUUUCUAUUAAUCUAUAUGCUGCUUACUUCAUCUAUGAACUUCCCAUGUUGCUUCUUCCUUGUCUGGCUUGAGACUCUCGUGGCUCCCUGACUCAGCCCUUUCUUUGUCCUAGAAUUUUUGUCUGGUUCUCCCACCUAACCUUACCCUUCCUAGCUAUAGGCCAGUCAUCUUUAUUAAACCACUUUAAAAUAAGGUAGGAUUUAAACCACUUUCCAUAUGGUUCUCUCAGUUCUGCAUUUUCAAGGCCUUUAUUUUCCAUUUAGAGCAGUUUUUGGACUUUAAUUCUCCUUUGAUAAACAAUCAAAUCUCUUAUCUCCCUAAAGGGACAUUACCAGGUUCAAAGUAAUGUAAGCAUCAUGGCUAGACAGAAAACAAUGGUAGUUUUCUAAGAACAGCUACACUUGGGCCUUUAGAGAGCACAUUUUUCACUUCCUUGCUGUUUUCCUUGCUUCAUUUUCAAAGCCUGCUACCUUGGCUCACACAGAGAUGGGGACUCUUCCAGUAGCAAAUGUCCAGCGCUGGAAAUGGUGGUAUAAUGGCACCCAACUGUGUGUGCGCUCUGUCCCUGUUAUGUUUUCCCCAAGUAUCUCCUACAACUACCACGCAGCUUGGGCCAAGCAAGUCUUUCUUGAGGCCUUGUUCUGGCAACGGCUGAGUAUGUGGAAAAAAGGGUUUUCCCCUGGAGUUUCACCACAGAAAUUUGGGUUGAUUUCUGACACAAGGAAAAGUUAUAACUGGUUUCACCUUGGAGUCUAGCUGGAUGAAGUUGGAAUUUCCUUUUCUUGGUCACAAAAGUCCCAAUUUCUUUAGAGUGCUGUCAAGAUGUGGAAAUGAAAAGAAAUUUUAAUGUCGACUUGAAGAUCCAGAACCAGAUCUGUGUUAUAAAUACUGAUGGGAGUUCGAAGCCAGCAUGGUCUACAGAGUGUUGCCACAGCAAGGCUAUAAUGUGUGCUGGGAAGGACUCCUUACAUUCAUGGCAUCAAGGAUCUUAUACCAGAGGCCUAAUUCAGCCUUCUGCAGCUUGUCUCCAUUCUUACCACCUUUCUGCUUCCUGCCAUAUGGAGAUGAAAACCCUCACCAGAUCCCAACACCUUGAUCUUUGACUUCCUGCUUUCCAGAACUGUGAGAAAAUGAUAGUCUGCAUUGCCCAGCCUUCUUAGUCUCAGCCCCGGUUCCUGUCCAGCCCCCAAGAGCAAAUGUGCAGCCGAUAGCAACAUUGGAAGCUCUGUCUUGCUAAGAACAUUAUAGAAUGGAAUGUUAGCCACUGUGGGAUGUGUUUGGAAUCAAUGAUGCUCCACCGAGGAACACUGCUCUGCUGCCCAGCUCCUGAGCAAUAUUUGCAAAUACUAUGCAAAUUUGUGCAUACUGCUGGAGCCACAGAUUGGAACAUGAAAAACAAGAAAAUGGAUGACACUUCCAUCAUGCCAAAGCCUGUUCCAUCCGAGCUGAGUCAGGGAGGACGAAGCAGGGAAACUGCCAUUCUUUUUCCUGUACUUCCUCUCCAAUCUCCCUGCGGUUU